CGCGGGAUGGAGCAGUCUGGUAGCUCGUCGGGCUCAUAACCCGGAGGUCGUUGGUUCAAAUCCGACUCCCGCACCCA
rnacentral:tRNA from 2 species